rnacentral:rRNA from 1 species
ACGUAGGGUGCAAGCGUUAAUCGGAAUUACUGGGCGUAAAGCGUGCGCGGGCGGUUUCGUAAGUCUGUCGUGAAAUCCCCGGGCUUAACCUGGGAAUGGCGAUGGAGACUGCGAGGCUAGAGUUUGGCAGAGGGGGGUAGAAUUCCACGUGUAGCAGUGAAAUGCGUAGAGAUGUGGAGGAACACCAGUGGCGAAGGCGGCUUUCUGGUCUGUAACUGACGCUGAGGCGCGGAAGCGUGGGGAGCAAACAGGA